GUGCCAGCAGCCGCGGUAAUACAGAGGUGUCAAGCGUUGCUCGGUAUCACUGGGCUUAAAGGGCGCGUAGGCUGUGCGGUACGGUUCGGGUGAAAUCCCUCGGCUCAACCGAGGAACUGCCCGGGCGACGGCCGCGCUGGACUGCAUUAGGGGACGAUGGAACUCCCGGUGGAGCGGUGAAAUGCGUAGAUAUCGGGAGGAACGCCGGUGGCGAAAGCGAUCGUCUGGAGUGCAUGUGACGCUGAGGCGCGAAAGCUAGGGGAGCAAACGGGAUUAGAUACCCCCGUAGUCC
rnacentral:rRNA from 1 species